AUAGUUUCUUCUUCUAGAGAGAGAAUCGCUCUCUCUUUACCUCCUUCGUAUCCAUCUCUGUAUCUUUAAGAAGGACGAAGAAGAGAGCAUUUCUUGUUUUUUUUUUCGAUCAGACAAUCCUUUUGUUCGCUAAGGCGAUUUUUGUUUGUUUGCAGGUGGAGAAAAGGUCAUAAAAGGUCUCAGUAAGGGUGUUGAAGGGAUGCGAGCUGGUGAUAAGAGAAGACUCAUAAUUUCACCAUCUCUUGGAUACUCAGGGGAAGGACUAAAGAAGGAAGAUGUGCCUAGAAUUCGUGGCUUGUCUAUGAAGUAGAGGCAGUAAAAGUGAGAGAUGUCACUGGCUCUUUUGAAACAAGUUUAUGCUUUUUUUUGUUUUUUUUCUUCUCGGGUCAUCUAUUUGUCUCAUAUUGCCUCCAAUUUUUGUUCGUUUUGGGGAGGGGAUUCGCUAGCUGUUCGCUUAACUCAGCCACAUGGUUAUAUAAUUUCUUCGGUCAAAAAGAUGCAAAGUUGUUUAAAGUUGGAACUUUUUUCGUCGAAGUGUAAUUUCCU